AGUAAAAGUCGUAACAAGGUCUCCGUUGGUGAACCAGCGGAGGGAUCAUUACAAGAGUAGCCCUAGGCUCUCCAACCCACUGUGAACAUACCUACGUUCCCCCGGCGGGCUCAGCGCGCGGUGCCUCCGGGCGCCGGGCGUCCGCCGAGGGCAUCCAAACUCGAAUUUAUUACGUGUAUAUCUGAGGGGCGAAAGCCUGUAAAAAUAAAUCAAAACUUUCAACAACGGAUCUCUUGGCUCUGGCAUCGAUGAAGAACGCAGCGAAAUGCGAUAAGUAAUGUGAAUUGCAGAAUUCAGUGAAUCAUCGAAUCUUUGAACGCACAUUGCGCCCGCCGGCACUCCGGCGGGCAUGCCUGUCCGAGCGUCAUUUCAACCCUCAGGCCCUCCCUUCCGGGGGACGGGCCUGGUGUUGGGGCUCGGGGUCCGCAAGGCCCCCGUCCCCUAAAAUCAUUGGCGGUCGCGCUGUAAUCCCCUGCGUAGUAACACACCUCGCUCUGGAGACCAGCACGUCCACGCCGUAAAACCCCCAAUUUACCAAGGUUGACCUCGGAUCAGGUAGGAAUACCCGCUGAACUUAAGCAUAUCAAUAGGCGGAGGAAAAGAAACCAACAGGGAUUGCCUCAGUAACG
rnacentral:rRNA from 1 species